rnacentral:rRNA from 1 species
UACAGAGGGUGCAAGCGUUAAUCGGAGUUACUGGGCGUAAAGGGCGCGUAGGCGGUUUAUUGGGUGUGAUGUGAAAGCCUUGGGCUUAACCUGAGAAGUGCAUCGCAAACCAAUAGACUGGAGUAUAUGAGAGGGUGGCGGAAUUUCCGGUGUAGCGGUGAAAUGCGUAGAGAUCGGAAGGAACGUCAAUGGCGAAGGCAGCCACCUGGCAUAAUACUGACGCUGAGGCGCGAGAGCGUGGGGAGCGAACAGG